CAGCACCUCAAGUGGUCAGGAUGAUUAUUGGGCCUAAAGCAUCCGUAGCCGGCGCUGUAAGUUUUCGGUUAAAUCUGUACGCUCAACGUACAGGCUGCCGGGAAUACUGCAGCGCUAGGGAGUGGGAGAGGUAGACGGUACUCGGUAGGAAGGGGUAAAAUCCUUUGAUCUAUUGAUGACCACCUGUGGCGAAGGCGGUCCACCAGAACACGUCCGACGGUGAGGGAUGAAAGCUGGGGGAGCAAACCGGAUUAGAUACCCGAGUAGUCC
rnacentral:rRNA from 1 species